GGGGUUGUGGCUUAGAGGUAGAGCGCUCGCCUCGUAUGUGCGAGACUCUGGGUUCGAUCCUCAGCACCA
rnacentral:tRNA from 1 species